rnacentral:lncRNA from 1 species
AACAAACAUAUAGAACAGAGACAUUAUGGAGACUUGAGGAUUGAUUUUAUGUAUUGAUUAUGUAUGUAAGUCCCGAUAACAUCUCUGGUUCAGGAAAUUGCAAGAAAAAGAUUGGGAAUCAGAACAGCAGAAAGGUAUUUUUGGAAGGGUAAUUUACUGAUUUUUCGUUUUAAAUUGUUGACAUUGCCUUCGCCGGUGGAAAUGAAUUACUUAUGUGAAUCUGGCAGGAACACAAUUUUUAAAAUUAGAAAAUUAGUCCUCCUUAUUAAGUAAAUGUGGAACUAUCAUUUGAGGAAUACUGGUUUGUAGGGGCAGCAGAUUCUGAGGCUGGCCCAUGGUCCUUUCAUAGGCCUUAUACAGAAGGCGUUUUUUUUUUCCCUCUUGUGGCUUCCUGCUGGUCUGUAUGCUGGAGAGUGGGAAGGGAAGGGCAGGAUCCCUCUCUGCUGGGAGGACCGGUGCCAGAGGAGAAAGGUUAUGUGUAGAAUGGGCUGUCAUGAAUUGAGGAAGAGUCAGGCCGUUAUCGUGGGGUGGGGGAACGGCUGGAAUGUCGCCAGACUGGACGGCAGUUGGACAUUAUUUCUAGUUCCCACAGGAUGAGGUCUACAGCAGUUGAAAUUAAAAAUCAUUUCGACAUCCAGGUAAGAACUGCAGAGCCUUUAAGAAUAAAAUUCAAACUGCAAAGCUGGUUUAACACCUUCCUCAUGGAAUAAAAUUACAAUCUAUCUAUCUCCCAGAGUUUUGUUUUCACAACUUUAAGUUUUAGAAUGUUCAUAAUAGAUGUAAAAGGGAAUGGGUUCUCCAAAAAUGAGCAAAAUAUAAUUAAAAUGUGUUUAGGAAAAUAUAAUUAAAAUGUGUUUAGGUUGUGCAUAAAAAGCCAUCCCUUUCUAUUUCCUUAUAACUCAUUAGGAUUAGCCAUUGAGUAUUAUUUUAAGGUCAACCCAGUUUGUGUCAUGUACAUGCCACAAAGCCUAAGAAGAAGGUUGGAAAGAGGACGUUUCUCACCAUCAAAGUGCCCACAGUUUCCUCUUAAGUCAGGCACUAUGCCUGACUAAACAAGAUGGCUGGCAAACCCACUAUGAUAAAGAUACAGUAUUAUUGGCAUUUAAGGUUCAGCUGAAAGGUGUCAGCAUUUUUCUGGUAGUGGUACUUUGCCUUCCAAACUGUAACAACUGGAUAUUGAUCACAAUAAGUAUUUUACAGCUAAUUGAAAGCCAGAUGUGAUACCCAUAGUUUAUUAUCUAAAAAUUACUUGCACUCCUAAAUUCAGUAAAUUAAUCAGAAUGGGAAUAUUCUGAGCUAAAUGUUACCAUCACCCUGAAUCUGAGCAACAAUAUUGUAUGUCUUCUUGUAUGUCUUAUAAGGUAGAAAAAUAAAAAUCUCAAUACCUACUGUUUAUACAGUCCUCCGUUUGCUUCUUUUCACAUACUAAGUAGAUCUGUAAACUGGUCAAUGUAGACAAUUUUCGGUUCAUUUUAUUUUUAUCAAAGAAUGGGCUGCUGCCAAGUAUCUUUCAAAAACACAGAGGCACACAGAUGUGCCCUGAUCCCUCCAAUGUUAUAACACCAAUUCAUCGACCUCAUUACACAUGUGCAGUGAAAGAGAGAGACACAAGGUUUAGGGAGAAUAGUGUCACCAGAGGUUCUAGUGUCCCAUAAACAUCCAGACGUCUCCAUCUCUGUCUCCCACACACUCACGCAGACAGCUGUGUGUGUGGCAGGUACUCUCUGAGAUGGACCUCAGCGAUCCAUGCCUCCUGGAAUUCAUACCCUGCAUCCCUUCCCCUAAAGUAUGGGAUGGACUUGAUUUGCUUCUAACAGAUAAAACACGGUAAAAGCAAUAGGAUGUCACUUCUGAGAUUAGCUUACAAAAAGACUGUCUCUCAUAUUGGGUGCUCUUGCUUUUUUGUUCUGAGAGAAGCCUGUUGGCUUUUUGUGAGCUGCCUAUGGAGAAAUGCACAUGGCAAGGAACUGAGGGUUGCCUCCAGCAAACUGCUGGUGAGGGAGUGAGGCCUUCAGUCCAACAGCCUUUAAGGAACUGAAUCCUGCCAACAACCAUGAUGGAGUACAGUGGUGCCAUCUUCGCUCACUGCAGCCUUCGUCUCCCGGGUUCAAGCAAUUCUCCUGUCUCAGCCUCCCAAGUAGCUGGGAUUACAGACCCAUCAAGCCUUCAGAUAAGACUGCAGCCUCAUUACAGACCUUGAACUGGAGGCAGCCAGCUGAGUCACACCUGGAUUCCUGACCCUUAGAAACUAUGAGAUAAUAAAUGUUUACAGUUUUAAGCCA